UACAGAGGAGCCAAGCGUUGUCCGGAUUGACUGGGCGUAAAGCGCACGCAGGCGGUCGUGCGCGUGGGGUGUGAAAUCUGGCCGCUUAACGGCCAGGCGCCAUCCCAUACGGCACGACUGGAGGGCUGCAGAGGUCGAUGGAAUUGCCGGUGUAGUGGUGAAAUGCGUAGAGAUGCGGAGGAACACCGAUGGCGAAGGCAGCCCCCUGGGCUAACACUGACGCUCAGGCACGAAAGCGUGGGGAGCAAACAGG
rnacentral:rRNA from 1 species